rnacentral:rRNA from 1 species
AGAGUUUGAUCCUGGCUCAGGAUGAACGCUGGCGGCGUGCCUAACACAUGCAAGUCGAACGGAGUUACGAUGAAACCUAGUGAUUCGUAACUUAGUGGCGGACGGGUGAGUAACGCGUGGAUAACCUGCCUUACACUGGGGGAUAACACUUAGAAAUAGGUGCUAAUACCGCAUAAGCGCACAGAGCCGCAUGGCUCAGUGUGAAAAACUUCGGUGGUGUAAGAUGGAUCCGCGUCUGAUUAGCUGGUUGGCGGGGUAGAAGCCCACCAAGGCGACGAUCAGUAGCCGGCCUGAGAGGGUGAACGGCCACAUUGGGACUGAGACACGGCCCAAACUCCUACGGGAGGCAGCAGUGGGGAAUAUUGCACAAUGGGGGAAACCCUGAUGCAGCAACGCCGCGUGAGUGAAGAAGUCAUUCGUGAUGUAAAGCUCUAUCAGCAGGGAAGAAAAUGACGGUACCUGAGUAAGAAGCCCCGGCUAACUACGUGCCAGCAGCCGCGGUAAUACGUAGGGGGCAAGCGUUAUCCGGAUUUACUGGGUGUAAAGGGAGCGUAGACGGCCAGACAAGUCUGAAGUGAAAAUCCAGCGCUUAACGUUGGAAGUGCUUUGGAAACUGCCGGGCUG